GUGAGGAAUUUUCCGCAAUGGGCGAAAGCCUGACGGAGCAAUGCCGCGUGAAGGAUGAAGGCCUUAGGGUUGUAAAGCUCUUUCAGUGGGGACGAUAAUGACGGUACCCACAGAAGAAGCCCCGGCUAACUUCGUGCCAGCAGCCGCGGUAAUACGAAGGGGGCUAGCGUUGUUCGGAUUUACUGGGCGUAAAGCGCACGUAGGCGGAUCGUUAAGUCGGGGGUGAAAUCCUGGAGCUCAACUCCAGAACUGCCUUCGAUACUGGCGAUCUUGAGUCCGGAAGGGGUGAGUGGAACUCCUAGUGUAGAGGUGGAAUUCGUAGAUAUUAGGAAGAACACCAGUGGCGAAGGCGGCUCACUGGCUCGAUACUGACGCUGAGGUGCGAAAGCGUGGGGAGCAAACAGGAUUAGAUACCCGUGUAGUCC
rnacentral:rRNA from 1 species